rfam:Vibrio rumoiensis 1S-45 1S-45_contig_48, whole genome shotgun sequence.
UCAUCAUCACCAUCAUCCUGUUUUAUCUUGCGGGUGAGUGUAUGCAUCCGGAAGAUAUCUCUUCCGGCGCUGAAUCAGUAAAAAGAUUCAAACCCUCGGAAGAGUUUUCUCUCCGGGGGUUUUUUCAU